UAGACUAAGCACAAACAAGUAAUCAUUACAAAGAUACCUUCAAAAAUAGGUUCAAAUUUGACUUAAAAUUAACAACCAAAGCAAGAAUGAAAGCUCAAAAUACCAAGACACAUAUGUCUACAAGUGUGUAAAAUUUUGGGUCAAAAUUCAAAGGAGAAAAUUAAAAAAUCAAACCCUAACAAAGUAAGCUAGCAUAAAUAGAUACAUGUAAUAAAAAAAAUGGAAUAAAUAUUAAAAUAAAUUUAAAAAGAAAAUAAAUAAUAUGAAAAAUUAAGUAACACUUAAAAUGUCCCUCAUAAAUUAAAUCAACAUUUUUAGCCUAAAA
rnacentral:lncRNA from 1 species